AUCAUUUAAAUAUGAGAGAACAAUUAGAAGUUAAUUAGUACAUAAAGUCUUAGGAAUUACAAUCAUCCUUAGAAGAAGACAGAAUUCAAACUUGAACACAUGAAAAGUAUUUCAAAAUGCACUGCAAUCAUGGCAACCUAACUAAGCUAAGCAACGGUGUCAUCUCCUUCCAAGACCUGUGAUGGGUUGUCGCGGCCCACACAAAUUUGAUUGCAUAUUAGGAAUGCAGUAUAGACUAGGAAGUGACUCCUAGGUCGUCUCUCAAGGACCAAACUGUAGUUCGAGAAUCAGGUCAGGCACGAAGUGGGGGGGUGUCGUUGAAAGGAUUAUGAAUGCAGAUGAACUGAAGUAAAGCUGAAAAUUAAACACAACCGAAUAUAAUUCAAAACAAUUAAAUAAAUGAACAAGAAGAGGGACCUAACAGUCCUACAGAUGACCGAACGGUUCUACAUUAAGACCAAACUAUCUCUAAGGCAAGUGAGGAAAUUGGAAAUGCGAGAAAAUAAAGAAACCUGACAGAACAAACAUCAUAUUGAACUGAAACAAUAAACCCAACAUAAUAGAGAACAUAAAAAAGUAAACGAAAAUACUAGACCCCAACAAUGUGACAAACAACUAUCCAACAAAGUUAAAUUAAUUUAAAUGCAAAACUAAAUUAAGAAGAUAAUCACUACUAAACAUUUAAUGUAAAUAUUCUAAAGCAAAAUAAUUAAAAGAAAACACAAAGUUUCUUCUACCAAUACAAGUGACUAAGUGCUUUUACCAAAGGAAAUUGAAUUUGCAAUCCUUGAAAAUAAAACCUCUUGCUGUGACUUUUCCCAGCCGAAACCUUGUGCACCCUUUCUCCUAAAUGAUAAUACCAGACCGUGUGCUUCUAAAAGAGAAGUGAAAUGUGCUUCUCCAGAAUUAAAAUCACGUCCCACGUGGCUGGAAGCAUUUUCAAUUCUACCCAAAAUCUAGCACCGUCUGUGAAGCCCUCCAGCUUCAAUGUGCCGUGACAGCACCUUGAUUACUGCACCCAAUUCUCCAAAGCAAUUAACUCCAUCAAAAGCAAAUGAAUUCAGCACCUCCGUCCCAGCUGAGUCCGUAUACCAACUUCUGCC
rnacentral:lncRNA from 1 species